ACUCUACCACUGGCGGGCAGCAGCUGUCUGGAGCGAAUGGUCUGGGAUCUCGCGCAGCCGGCUGCAGCUUUUCCCGGCCAGGAGCUAGUGUGUGGGGGCGGGAGAAGAGCCGUGGGCGGGGAGCCGGCCGGUCCCAGGCUGCGGCUGCUGCCGUGGGGCUGCAGCUCCCCAGCUCCGCCAGCUGGAGCGCUUGGAGGUAGAGGGAAGGUCUUGACUGGGUGGCUGGACCGGUGGCAGACUCAAAUCCAGGCCAACUGUAUCUGAGGUGUUGGAACGGAAGGAGGUCCAUUCCUGUUGGUGACAACACUGUGGCCCUGUUCUGGGAUGACCGAGAUGUUAAGGUCAGUGCAGUUUUCACUGGGUCAUUUGCAAAAUUAUAAUCAAGUAGGGUCUGUAA
rnacentral:lncRNA from 1 species